rnacentral:rRNA from 1 species
UGGGGAAUUUUGGACAAUGGGGCAACCCUGAUCCAGCAAUGCCGCGUGUGUGAAGAAGGCCUUCGGGUUGUGAAGCACUUUUGUCCGGAAAGAAAACGUCGUGGUUAAUACCCGUGGCGGCUGACGGUACCGGAAGAAUAAGCACCGGCUAACUACGUGCCAGCAGCCGCGGUAAUACGUAGGGUGCAAGCGUUAAUCGGAAUUACUGGGCGUAAAGCGUGCGCAGGCGGUCCGCUAAGACAGAUGUGAAAUCCCCGGGCUUAACCUGGGAACUGCAUUUGUGACUGGCGGGCUAGAGUAUGGCAGAGGGGGGUAGAAUUCCACGUGUAGCAGUGAAAUGCGUAGAGAUGUGGAGGAAUACCGAUGGCGAAGGCAGCCCCCUGGGCCAAUACUGACGCUCAUGCACGAAAGCGU